CACACACACACAUAUAUAGUUCUCUCUUCCUCCAGAUAUCUGUAGGCUUCAUCCUCUCACUUCCUUAGGCCUCUGCCCACAUGGCACCAUAUCAGAAAGGCCUUCCCUGAUGACUUAAUAUUAAAAAAAAAAACCCAAGCACUCCCAGUCCUCCGUUUUAGUUUUCCUCUUUUCUCUUAUCAGUGGCAUAUUAGACACUUAUUCAUUUACUUAUUUAUUUUCUCUCUCCCCUGAGCAGCACGUGACCUCUAUAAGAGCAGACUUGGUUUUGUUUUCUGCUGUGUCCCCAGAACCUGGAGCACAGUAAGUGCUCAAUAAAUAUUUGCUGGAUUUUGUGAAUGUGUGUGUCCCCUUUAUGAAAUGGCACGGAAGAGCCUGCACUGACGCUCCAGGUGAUUUGGGGCCUGAAUGGGUCACUGAUCAACUUUUAUCUUAACCAGACCAGGGUGAUGAGGAGAAUUAGGUGGCUGCUCAGGGGCCCUUCACACACAUACCUUUGGGACCAACGCUGUUUCGUCUGCAGCAAUGGCGUGCCUGGCUUUCAUGCUUGUGGUUUGUACCAUAGUUGUGAUGUUGUCUAGAAUUCCCAUGGCAGCUUUACAAUAUGAUUAAUUUUGCUCAUAUAGAUACAUAUCGAUUACGGAUAAAGAUGACUCAAGGUUUAAAUUUAGCCCCACCACAACAAAUUGAAAGUCACAGGUGUGCUACCUAAUUGCUCCCAGACUAUGAAAACAAAAGCACAAUGUCUGCCAGCACUGAAUCACUCUUCUCCACCCUUUUUCUCCCUUCCCUUCAUGUUCUCUGUCUUAAUUCUGUUCAUGUCGUAAACCGUGGUAGCUUAGAAAAGUGAAAAAUAACAUCCGGAGUCCAAAGUUCCAGUCCUGACACCACCACUUGUUUACUGUGAGAUCUCAAGCAUGUUACCCCACCUCCCUGAGCUUCAGUUUCCUCUUUUGUAGAAUAGACCUACUUGAAAACAGGUGCUCAAUAACGUGUUGAAUGAAAGAUGCCUAAGUGAGACAGCAUGGGUAGAAUGUCUAGCCCAGGGUGAGCACUCAAUAGAUGCUAGUCACCGGCCAUGCUAACUGAUGCACCUGACUGUGCUGUCUUCAUGAACUUUCUUUGGCUUUGGUUAACCAUUAGGAUAGGCAACCCAGCUGAAAACAGAGGAUGGCUCAUGACAAGGCCUUUCCUAAUCAGUCUCUCACAAGGGCUUUUAUGGAGGCCCUACUAUGCGUACAGCAAGGUGGAAGAUUCAGGGGUGGGUGGAGCAUCAAGCCAGCGAGAGGCAUAGUUACUGCUGCUAUUGGUGCCCUGUGGCUGCUGUAACAAAUGACCACAAGCUUUGUAGCUUAAAGCCACAGAAAUGUAUUCGCUCACAGUUCUAGAGGGCAAAGCAUUUGAAAUCAAAAUGUUGGCAGGGCCACGCUCCCUCCAAGGGCCCUAAGGAAGAAUCCACUCUCUGCCUUUUGCAGCUUCUGGCGACUCCUGGUGUUGCUUGGCUUGUGGAAGCACAGCUCCGUUCCGCGCCUCUGUCUUCACAUGAUCUUCCCUACUGUGUGUCUCUGUGUCUCAAAUCUCCCUCACCUUUCUCUAAUAAGGAAACCAAUCAUUGGAUUUAGGGUCUACCCUAAAUUCAAAAUGUUUUCAUCUUGAGAUCCUUAACUUAAUUACAUCUGCAAGGACCCUAUUUCUAAAUAAGUUCACAUUCAUAAGUGUUGGGGUUUGGGGUUUAGGGUUUUGACAUCUUUUUUGGGGUCCCAAUUUAACCCAGCUACAGUGGCCUCCAGGAAUUUCAGAUUAGGGAAAGGAAGAGCACACACAGAUGAACAAAAAAAGUUUCAAGUAGAGUUUGUAAGACAAAUCUUAUUUGAAGGUGGUUAGUAGGGGGUUGAUCCAUUAAUUUUUUGAUCCAGAAAUAUUCACUGAGCCCCUGCUAUGCUGGGUGCUGGAGAUAGAAAUGAGGAAGCACAGUCUCUGCCUUCAAGGAGUUCACAGACUGCUUCAAUGAACAGAGAAAUGGACAUUUAUUGUUGAGCAUGGUAGGAGCUGUGGUAGAAGUAGACCCCUGAUGCGAUGGGCAUUAGCAGGUCUGAGUUACAACCUCGGGGCUGGUGUUCAGAGAGGGCUUUCUGCAGGAAGUAUUAUCCCUUCCAAGGCCUAAAGGUUGAGGGAGUAGGAGCUGGCCAGGCCCAAGCGGGAAUGGUUCUAGGAAGAAGGAAUGGAGGAAAGACAGGCUGGCCUGUAUAGGUUCUGCACUAUGUAGGGGGCUGGAGAGGUGCACAAGGGAUCAGAUUGAAUGGGAUGCUGAAAACCACAGAAAGCUAUGGAGAGCCAUAGAAAGACUGUAGGGAGGGGAGUGACAUGACUAGAUCUGUAUGUUAAAAAUAAAAAUUGGAGAAGGUCUUUUGAGAAAAGUGAUUUUCUAAUAGAAUUUUAUUUGAUCCUUUUUUUAAAAAAAGAAGCAUAACAUAUAUACAGAAAUGCAUACAAGUCAUAAGAGGUGCAUUUUGAUGAAUGAUUACAAAGUGAAUAGCCCUGUGUAUAUACUGCUUAGGUUUUCCAGAUGUAUAGGUUGUCAGAGUACAGGCAGAAUAGAGGAGAGAUGGCCUAAUCAUUUGGAAUUUCUCUUCUUUGUCCUGUGGAGAAAUGGCUUUCAUAACAGAAAGAAUAUGGGAUCUAGGGUAGAAAGGCUCAGUUUUGAGCUCUAUAUCUGGUAUUUCCUUUUUGUAUGAUCUCAGGCAAAUGGCUACACUUUCCUUAUCCUCAGUUUCACUACUGAGAGUGGACUAGCUAUGUCUUCUUCACUAAGAUGGUGUGCAGGUAAAAUAGGACAAAGCUGGUAAAAAGCUCUCUGCAUUAUGCAAAAUAGUUGCCCAUAUAAUUCUAAAAUUCCAAUCUGUCUCAGAUAUAGACUGCUUCACUUUAUCUUCUUCCUUCUUUAUAUGACAUUUUGACAGAUGAAUGAGGAGGGAAGGAGGGGAGGGAGUUUCUCUUUUUGUAAUGCUUUUUUUUUUUUGGUUUUGUUUUCCAUUUCAAAAUGCCAGCCACAUCUGGAGUGGCUCUCCUAUACCCUUCUCUGUCCCUACUCUUCCUGCUCAUUGCUGGCCAUCUUACCCAACCAGGCCCAAAGAGGCAGGGGAAGGAGGGCGGGAAUGAGGGCAUGAAAAGAGCUUCGAGGUGAAAAGAAGUCCCUUCGUCUUCCUUGAGGGUCCCUGCUGUCCCCAGCUGUGCACUAGGCAUUUGGGAUGGAGGUGGGGGGAUGUAGAUGGGAAACAUGCCCUUCACUUUCAGUGUGAUGUCAAGUCUGUUGAGGCAAAAUGAAAACAGCCUAGGCCGAGCGCGGUGGCUCACGCCUGUAAUCCCAGCACUUUGAGAGGCCGAGGCGGGCGGAUCACGAGGUCAGGAGAUCAAGACCAUCCUGGCUAACACGGUGAAACCCCCUCUCUACUAAAAAUACAAAAAAAAGUUAGCCAGGCAUGGUGGCAGGCACCUGUAGUCCCAGCUACUCGGGAGGCUGAGGCAGGAGAAUUGCGUGAACCUGGGAGGCAGAGCUUGCAGUGAGCCGAGAUCUGGCCACUGCACUCCAGCCUGGGCAAGAGAGUGAGACUACGUCUCAAAAAAAAAAAAAAAACAAAAAACAAAAAACAGCCUAAUAGCAGAGCAAGACCAGCUAAGGUCAAAGUCUUAGUGUCAGAGGCAAAUAGCCCCAAAGGAGGCUGGAAACAGAAGAGACCACUUCACUGGGUAAAACACCUACAGAAGGUGAGCUCAGUGCUAGGCUCUCCCUUCUCUCCUCUCAUUUCAAAUUCUUGGCAUUUUAUGCAAUAAAUAUAUUUAAGCACCUAUAGCAUAUCAGACCAUUAUUUUAUACACAUUGUUUUAUUUGAUCCUCAGAACAACACUAAAAGCUAAGUAUUAUAAUUACCAUCUUUUGGAGGAAGGGGACCAAGAUUUACAGAUUUGCUCAAGAUCACACCACUGUUAAAAGAAGGAAAUAGCUUUGAACCCACACCCAUCCAGUCCCACAAAUCCUGCUCUUUCCACUCUGCUAUACCGUUCGUUGAACGUAUGUGGAAGGGAGCCACGCGCUUUAUCGGGCUGCAUCACAUUGCAUGCAUUUUUAGUAUAUGUGUGCACAUGCCAACAGGCAUGUGGGAAUCCUGCUGGGUGAGUUGUAAUGAGGGCGUUUUGAGUGGCUAGAUGCAUUUUUGCUGGUGAGGCCUGGCUCAAGGAGAACAGGAAAGGAAGCAUACAAACCCAGUGUGUGGGAGGCUAGUCACACGGUGUGAGGGCUUGUCCUUGAACAAACUAUUGGGAAAUGGGUCUGUUAAGCCCUGGUGAAACUUUACUUUACUGGGGGGCCCCUAGGUUUUUCCAUGACUAUUUGAUUUCCAAAGCAUAAUUCAUUCCCAAUUCUUGAAAAAAAAGAAAAAGCAAUAUUUGUUUAGCACCUCCUGUGUGCCAGGCAUGGUGCUUGGUGCUUUACAUAUGUGACAUCAUUUAAUUCUCACAAACCCUUGCCCAUUAGUGCCACUGUUCAGCCCAGGAGACAGAUUCAGGAAGUUCAGGCGAUUUGUUCAAGAUUCUUCAGCUGGUGUGGAGCAGCACUGGGGUUCCUGCCCUGUGCUGUUCAACAGCAAGUCACACUGGCAUUUUAAAGUUAUUGGUGGGACAUUCUGUCUUUUAAUAUAGUUGUAAAUUAUCUCUAAUCAUGAAAUAGGAUGACAGCAUACUGAUCCUUCCUCUCCUCUUUUAGAAAAAGAAAGGCAUUAUCUUUUCAUUCCUGAGUAACUAAGAUUCUUUGCCCCAGAGGUAAAAAUCUCCACUCCAGGUUACUCAUGUGUCAUUGUCCGGAGGGUACAAUUGCUACUCUUGCUUUCGUUUGGCCCUUUUUCUUCUUCUUUUCCUAAGGUACCUGGCCUCUUUCAAGAUAUCUCUCACUCCCCCAUACCCAUCACUAUAGUAUAAGGCUGCUGAGGUGGCACCAGCCAUGAUAAGGAAGGCAGGGACCUGUGGCCUGGAUGAGCCUGUAGUCAGAGAGACCUGGUGUGUAUGGAGUCUAGAGGGCCCUCUGAGGUUUGAGAUAGGCCUAAUAGUCUCCCAAAGACCCCUGGUCCCUGCUCACCUAGUGCCAUCAUAGAAGGGAAAAGAUGUUCUUGGUGUCACUGGAGAACAUUUGGCUUUGGAGAUAAGUGUUUGGGCCACCAGCCCCCUUCAAGAAUAUAUAGCAAUUAUGAGUGUCUGGAUGGACCUCAUUUUUUGCACUGGGCGGAUAGAUUAACCAAACCUCCCAGAAGUGGAAUGAAUAACAAAGAGAAAGGUCUUUGCAAUUCUAGGGCUUGUCCUUUCACAUCUCUUUUAAGGCUUGUGAAAGCAGCGAGCAGUGGGGAGGGAGAUGGGUGGAAUGGGCAUUUGUUAACGAGGAGAAAUCCUGAGAUGCUUGGUUGUGUGACCUGGGGUUGGGAAGCCACUCCACUUCACAUCUCUGAGUCUCAAUUUUCCCUUCUGCCAUUUGGCAAAGGGAAUGCUUCCCUUCCUCUUCCCCUGCCCCAGACGGCUGCUGUGAGAAUGAGAUGAGAAUAUGUUUAGGGUUUUGGAGUGAUGUCCGAACUCAGAGAAGGUGCUUAGGCCAAAGUCAAGAGGCCUGAGGUGUACUCCAGACUCUGCCCUGAACUCAGUAUCUCUUCUUUCCGGGGCUUCCUUUCUAUAAAAUGGGGGAAUGAGGGUAGCUUUCUUUCUUUUUUUUUUUUUUCCCUCAAUGGUCACUUUUGAUUCUAAAUGCCAUAAUGCCAUGACUGUUUUCUCAAAGUAGAGGAUUAGAUGCAACUUUUAGGAGAUAAAUGGAUCAUUUAAUAGUUACCUGUUCAGUCAUUUAACAAAUGUUUAAUGAGGACCUACCACAUGUCAGCCACAGUGCUAGGUAAUGGAUAGAAUAACAAACAAAACAGACGUAGCCCCUGCCCUCAUGGAACUUCUAGUCUAGUAUAAGACUGUUUGGAAGAACUUCCUCAUCUCAGAUAGUUGAAGAAGUUCCAGGGCUCCAAGGGGAAUGUCGUUAGUUAAAAGAACAAUGUCAGGAAUGUAAUAGGUGCUCAAAUAUUUGUUAAAUGAAUAAAUCAAUACAAGCACCUGAAGGAAGCUCUUGCAGUAACCCUAGAGUUAGGAGCAGUUCUUUGGAGUCCAGAAAGACUGUGGGAGCUCUGGCAAAGGGUGUAUGUAAUUGCUAAAUAGUUUGUUUGUUGAGACACCUGUGGAUGGGAGGAUCUGCCCCUACCUGCCUGGUUCUCAAGGUGGCCACUUACUGGGAACAACGAUGGCUUCACUUGCCAGGUCUUUUCCCCAGAGGUGGAGCCCAUGCAGAUGCUGGAACUGAAGGGGGGAAGGGAAAAGUGGCCAGGGAAAAAUGCCAGUGUUUGUAUGACAUUUGGGCUAAGCCCAGAGGACCCAUAGAGAUUGUGGGGUCUCAUCUGUAUCCUGUCAGAGGGGUAACUGAGGCCUAGAUGGGAUGUGAGGUCACAAAAGAGUUGGCUCCAAGCCAUGUCAGGAGGCUGGAUGGGGAGGUGGAAAGAACCUGGGCUUAGGAGUUGGAGAGUACUUGGGUUUGAAGGCUGUGGAUCCUUGGGUAAAUCACUUAAUCUCUCUGAAUCAGCUUUCUCAUCUGUUGAAGAGACAUCACAGUGGUGGCAUCUGAAAGAUGUCAUGAGGUAUAAUGUGUCUUGGACACCUAAAAUCAGGACCCAGGACUAACUAUAGACCUGAUAAUCAGUAUUUAUAAUUAUUACAUUAUUAGGACCCAGGUCCUAUUUCUGUGCAAUGUUGAAAGAUAGUGAUAAGAACAAUUUAGAUCAGAACUUACAAGUUUGCAUGAUCUUCAUUAUAAAUGAAAUAGUGAAACAAUGCUGAGCGGAUUUACAGAGGCGUAACUCAUUCAUUAACCAGCUUAGACAGGCAUUUUCCCCCCUCUUUGGGAUUGGUUUUCUCUUCUGUUAAAUGGGGAUAAUUUUUAUGCUCAACCUCUUCUCAUCCAUCUAUUAAACAUUUAUUGAAUGCCUAUUAGGAGUCAUAAUAUGCUUAGUGCUGAGGACACAGGAAGAGGACAUAGUUCCUGACCCUAAGGAGCUCAUUACCUAGUGGGACACUAUUAAACAGAUACAACACAGAAUAGUAUGUAUAGAGCAUGGUAUGUAGCAGGGGCCUAUUCCUGUCUGAGUGGACAAGGAGGCUUCCUAGAGGAAGCAACAUUUAAAGCUGAGGGCUGAAGGAUGAAUAGGAUUUAACCAAGUAAAAGUAAGAAAGGAAGUGGGGAGCUGGAAAGGGCAUUCCAGGAAGAAGAAACUGCAUGUGCAAAGGCCAGGAGGUCAGAGCGCACAGUGGAUAUGACGAUGUGGCUAGCUGAGCAUGUCUGUGCAGUGUCAACUUUGUUGUGAACACAGAGGGAGGCUACUGGGAAAUUUUAAGCAAGAGAGUUGGAGUAUGAUCACAUUUGCAUGUUAGAAAGAACACUCAGGGUUAUAUGCACUUGAAUGAAGUUUUAUUAUGGAGAGCAGUUGGAACAAGUCGAUUCUUUCCUCCUCCUCCAUCAUCCUCCUCUUUUCCCUGUCCACAUAACAUGGCUCACAUGAGAUAAAAUAACCCACACAAGCAUGCCUUGUGUAAUGUCUGCCACAUAGUAGGUGUCCAAUUAUCAUAUAAUUCCCCCCUUUUUAAAUGUAGUUCCUGAAAGAGAAAUCCCCUGGCAUGAAGCACAAGUUGGGGCAAAAACGGUGAGGGUGUGGCUGUUUGUAUCUUCUGGCUGGUGUUUGGGUAUAGCCGACAGGAUUUAGGUCAGAGGAAGUUCCCCAGACAGUUCAGCCUCAACCAGUCAUCUGGGGUUUCAGGGAGGGCAGGUGAAGGUCAUAAUAUCCCCCUAUUUCAGGAGGCCACCCCUCCCCAGGAUCCUGAUCUUGAAAUGUACCAGACAUGGACCAUUGCGUUAAUUUGUCUGGGUCGGCUUCCUCAUCUGUAAAAUGGGUAUAAGGUUACCUGUGCUGUCAGCCACAUGGGGUUGUUGUAAGAAACAGAAAAGUGUGAACCACCACAAAAUAAUAUAAGACUACAUUAAUUAAUGGCUACCCUGGGCUGGGCCUUGUUCUGUGAAGUAGAUAUUAUCAAUUAUCCCUAUUAUACAGAUAGCAAAACCAAGGGUCAGAGAGAUUAUGUGAAUCACCCACAGGCACAGAAUAAGUGGCUGUAGCUGGAGCGCUGGCAUUUUAACCACAACACUGUGACACCAUGACUUGUUCUCCUUUGAAAACCACCUCCUGCUCCCUGAGCUCUUAGCUUGAUGCAGUACUCCAGAAAUGAGUGUAGAAAGAUGGAAGAAGGAAGGAAAGGGGCAGUGUUUGAAGUCUGAGAGUCUUUCCAGAUGCCUCCCUACUCCUCACCCCACCAACUCAGGGUCUUCUUCCAGAUGCACUCUGGGAAAUGGCUCAUGGCAUCCUCUUAAAAUGACCUGUUACCUGACUCCUCAUUAGAUGGGGACACGUGGGGGAAGGGACUGUUUGGUUUGCGUUGGUAUCCCCAGGGUCUAGUACAAUGGCUGGCACUCAGUAAAUGUUUGUGAAUAAAUUCCUCCUGUCAUUGUCUGAAUUUUCUGCCCAUGCUGUCCUCUUGGCCAAGAGAUCUAAAAGCAAACGAGCUGGGGCUUCUGGAAAGUCUUCCAAGGUCAGUGGAUGCAUGUGUGAUGGAGGCCCAGCAAGAGGUCAGUGUGUUGCCCUGGGGCAAGCCUGCAGGAUGGACCCAGAGGGCUGGGGUGGCCGGCUUCAUCCAGCUCAUUUUUCCCAAGGGAUCUGGCGCUCACAGGCUGCACAUAGAGCCCACGUGUUGUGUUGCGUGAGGACCCCUAAGGAUUUGUUGAGUGGUCCUAGGUGCUCAAGUCACUGUACCUGCAGGGUGGCUUGAGCUGGGCCCACCUGACUGAUUGGCUGGUCAAUAGGUGGCCUGAGAACCAAAACUAGCCUCCAGCACAUUGAGCAACCGGCUUCCUUCCUGCCCCGGGUCAGGAGCUGGGCCAGGGAAAGUGAAGAAACCUGUUUGGGGCCUCGGCAGGGUGGGCGUGGGUGGGGCCCUGCCGGGAAAAGAGGCGCCUAGACCAGUUAGUUUCCUUUGCUCCAGGACCGGAUGCGGAGCCGGGACUCAGGUGGAGGCAGGAGAAAUACGCACCCUGGGUGCACCUAUUCCUAUCAGGCGAAGGCCGCCUUUCCUGGCCUCCCCCACAGGCCCGCCAGCGAUUCGUCCUUACAAGGCUAGCCUCCACGGGCUGCCCUCUGUGUAAAUAAAGCCACAGACUUCCGCCCACAGGUCGCCGCAGGUCCCGCCCGCAGCGCCGGGCCGCGGGGGAGGCGGGAACUGGUGCUACGGCCGCUACGCAGGCCUCGGGAGGCUCGGAGCCCGCCACGCCCCAGCCCUCUCGCAGGGCCGGGGAGCCACGGGGCCAAAAGGAGGAGCAGGUGGAAGAAAUCCAGGCUCAGACCGUCGGAGUCCCCACCCAUGAGCACCCUUCUCCACUGAUCACUCAGAACAUGGUAGGCCCUAGAGAGACAGCAGCCCGAAUCUUCCCAGAAACCCUGCAGGAGAUUCCUUCUUCCCAUUUUAUAGAAGGGAGGCUGAGGCUCGGCACGUUGAAAUGGCUUGACCAAGGUCCCACAGGCAAAAAAAUGGUACAGCAAGAUAUUGUAACCCAAUAUCUGGCUGCAAAACCCAGUCUCUCCCCAACCCACCUAUCGUCACCGAGAUUGUAAAACUUCUAACCGGGAAGAAUCAAAUACAUGCACAACGGGUUACAGGUUAACAGACAGAUGGGAGCGGAAAGGGACAUUCCAGCGCUUCCCUGGGCGUGUCGCACAGGGCAACUCCAACCACAGGCGAAUUUUCCUGGGUGACAGUUAAACUCCUUUUUGCAUGAAAAAAUACAGAUUCUUAUUAAAACAAUAAUCGAUUAGACUAUAAAA
rnacentral:lncRNA from 1 species